AUUGAACGCUGGCGGCAUGCCUUACACAUGCAAGUCGAACGGCAGCACGGGUGCUUGCACCUGGUGGCGAGUGGCGAACGGGUGAGUAAUACAUCGGAACGUACCUUAUCGUGGGGGAUAACGCAGCGAAAGCUGUGCUAAUACCGCAUACGCCCUGAGGGGGAAAGCGGGGGAUCGAAAGACCUCGCGCGAUUAGAGCGGCCGAUGCCUGAUUAGCUUGUUGGUGGGGUAAAAGCCCACCAAGGCGACGAUCAGUAGCUGGUCUGAGAGGACGAUCAGCCACACUUGGACGAGGACACGGCCCAGACUCCUACGGGAGGCAGCAGUGGGGAAUUUUGGACAAUGGAGGCAACCCUUGUCCAGCAAUGCCGGGUGAGUGAAGAAUGCCUUCGGGUUGUAAAGCUCUUUUGUCAGGGAAGAAACACCGGCUCUAACACAGUCCGGGAAUGACGGUACCUGAAGAAUAAGCACCGGCUAACUACGUGCCAGCCGCCGCCGUAA
rnacentral:rRNA from 1 species